UACGUAGGGUGCAAGCGUUAAUCGGAAUUACUGGGCGUAAAGCGUGCGCAGGCGGCUUUGCAAGACAGAUGUGAAAUCCCCGGGCUUAACCUGGGAACUGCAUUUGUGACUGCAUGGCUAGAGUGCGGCAGAGGGGGAUGGAAUUCCGCGUGUAGCAGUGAAAUGCGUAGAUAUGCGGAGGAACACCGAUGGCGAAGGCAAUCCCCUGGGCCUGCACUAACGCUCAUGCACGAAAGCGUGGGGAGCAAACAGG
rnacentral:rRNA from 1 species